rnacentral:rRNA from 1 species
AACGGACGAGGAGCUUGCUUCUCUGAUGUUAGCGGCGGACGGGUGAGUAACACGUGGAUAACCUACCUAUAAGACUGGGAUAACUUCGGGAAACCGGAGCUAAUACCGGAUAAUAUUUUGAACCGCAUGGUUCAAAAGUAAAAGACGGUCUUGCUGUCACUUAUAGAUGGAUCCGCGCUGCAUUAGCUAGUUGGUAAGGUAACGGCUUACCAAGGCAACGAUGCAUAGCCGACCUGAGAGGGUGAUCGGCCACACUGGAACUGAGACACGGUCCAGACUCCUACGGGAGGCAGCAGUAGGGAAUCUUCCGCAAUGGGCGAAAGCCUGACGGAGCAACGCCGCGUGAGUGAUGAAGGUCUUCGGAUCGUAAAACUCUGUUAUUAGGGAAGAACAUAUGUGUAAGUAACUGUGCACAUCUUGACGGUACCUAAUCAGAAAGCCACGGCUAACUACGUGCCAGCAGCCGCGGUAAUACGCAGGUGGCAAGCGUUAUCCGGAAUUAUUGGGCGUAAAGCGCGCGUAGGCGGUUUUUUAAGUCUGAUGUGAAAGCCCACGGCUCAACCGUGGAGGGUCAUUGGAAACUGGAAAACUUGAGUGCAGAAGAGGAAAGUGGAAUUCCAUGUGUAGCGGUGAAAUGCGCAGAGAUAUGGAGGAACACCAGUGGCGAAGGCGACUUUCUGGUCUGUAACUGACGCUGAUGUGCGAAAGCGUGGGGAUCAA